rnacentral:rRNA from 1 species
UACGUAGGGGGCGAGCGUUGUCCGGAAUCAUUGGGCGUAAAGCGCGUGUAGGCGGCCCGGUAAGUCGGCUGUGAAAGUCCAGGGCUCAACCCUGGGAUGCCGGUCGAUACUGCCGGACUAGAGUUCGGAAGAGGCGAGUGGAAUUCCCGGUGUAGCGGUGAAAUGCGCAGAUAUCGGGAGGAACACCUAUGGCGAAGGCAGCUCGCUGGGACGUUACUGACGCUGAGACGCGAAAGCGUGGGGAGCAAACAGG